rnacentral:lncRNA from 1 species
AUGGAUGAGUCUGGAGGACGUCACUCAGAUUCUGAGCAAAACACUGAGGACCAUCAAGCACAUCGUCAAAAACAAUCAAAGUCCAAAUUGAGCCCAGAACUCCAGAGUUUAUCUCGCUGCCCUGACUGCUACAACCACAAGGCACACUUCAGGUCUCGGUGGGGGGGCAAGAGUGAGUCCAGCUCAUCUGAUGAAGACUUUGGAUCAGAGGUUAACUCCGACUCAGAAGCAGAGUCCAGUUCUAGCAGCAGCUGCUUUACUGGGAACGUCAUAGAAGAGACACCAGUGAGGCCUGUAUGUGAAGACACUGCUGAGCCUGAUUCUGGAGGGCAGGAUGUUGACGGGCAAGCGGAGACAUCCGAGACUCCAGAGGAUAAGGGAAAGCUAAAGGAGAUGCUCAAAAGACCUCAGCUAAUCAAGUCUCAUUCUUUGCCCGCCUUCAAAACUCCUCACCUCACUCCUCUCAAUCUCCUGCCCCGCCCUCGUCAAGUCACCUCCACCCUUCACCUCCAGGUGCUACUCCAAAAACACAAGAAUGACACCACCUACACCAUCCGCCGACCAGAGAGAAGGGGAACCUUAAGAAGAGGAGGAACAGUAAUAGGCCCUCCCUCUGUACCAUUUCCAUGGCAGCGGCAGCCACCACAUCUUCAGCCUGACUAUAUUCCUCCUCUCAAACCUCAGGGUCAAUAUAUACCUCCACCUCUGUGCACAGUUCCUAUGAUAUAUGCACCUGUAUCCUACACACAGCUGCAAACACUUACUGCACAACCAUGCCGGUGCUAUUACUGUAUGUACUUUCCUCACACACACUGGAGUCAUUACAGCAGUACACAGCUGCCCUGA